GUCCCUUGGGCCUGGCCCAUAUUCGUUCUCCACUUCCUUCCGAGCGAGGAGGCUGAGGCAGCCAUUGGAUCCAAAAACCGAGCGAUUCACCAUGCUCCUGACCUAGGGUACCGCCACCCCGCCGCCGCAACGCCAGUUCCUUCGCUUGGUCGAAUCCCCCGCCGUGCCGCCCACGCGACCAGGCCACGCCGGCCCAAAUUCCGACGCAAACCCUAAGCCAGCCGGCCAGAUCCCGCCACCCACCCACGCGGCGCGGGGGCCAAUGGCGGAGGACGCCAGCGACAGGGAGCAGCAGCAGCCUGCCGCGGGAGCGGGAGCGGGAGAUGGCGCUGGCCCCAGGUAGGACGGGGGGCGGCAGGGAGGAGAGCGCCGUCAAGCUCUUCGUCGGCCAGGUGCCCAAGCUCAUGACCGAGGCCGAGCUGGCCGCCAUGUUCCGCAACGUCGCCGUCAUCCGUGACAAGGGCAGCAAGGUCUCGCGAGGUUCGUCCGGAUCCGUACGCCCCAACCCGCGCCGCCGGGGUUUCCUUCCGUCCACCCCGUUUCCUUCCAUGCCUGCCCAUCUCUCUGUUUUUUUUUCUUCUUCUCGCGGGUCGGGAUGAGGGCGCGGUUCUGCGGGAACAUGGUUCUGUUGCUCUGCAUUUUCCGUGUUUCCUCGACGGGGGCCAAUGCAUGCCGCACAGGAAACUUGAGCUGCCUGGUUUCUCUCUGUUCCGGCCAAAAUGUUUCUUGCUCUGCUGCUGGGAAUUGGGCUCCUUCAUGGCGGUUUAGGUUCGAUGUGGUGGGGAAUUUCAUGCGAGGGUUGCGUUGAACUGUGAACAUCUGGUACGGUGUGAGCUCCACUGUGGAGAAAAGUCAAAACAUCUGUCCACGUCCGCUUCAUUCACCCCAUGUUUCAUUUUGAGGUGCUUGUCUCGUACGUAGGAGCUUUGGGUUGCUUGAGAUUCUCCGAUUUUGGACUCUUGUUAGUCACCAUUUUAGAAACAGGUUGUAAUGUACUCAUUUGUUGGGUUUAGGUGCAUAAGGUACACCAGAUUUAUAAAUUUGAUCACUCUUAAAUCUUCAUAUAGUUACGUAUAGCACUUUCAGUAAAAUAUAUGAAAUUUUGUAGUUGUUUAAUUUAUAUAUCACUCUUAAAUCUUCAGAUAGUUGCAUAUAGUGCCUGCAUUUAUAUAAAUAACUAGACAUCUAAUAUGUUGGCUUUGCUUUGUAAUUAGUAGUACCAAAGAUCUGCUUGGAUUGUCAUUUUGUCAGUGCAGACACUAUAAGCAAGUACUUAUUCUCACCUGUUGUUGAUCAAAAUAAAUAUUGCAGGAAGUUGGCUGCAGCGCUAAUUAGCACACCAUUGUAACUGCUUGUGUCUCUGCAUCAUUUUCCAUAUUCUGUGUUAAUACCAAAAAAAUGGCCACCCCUUGACUUUUGCUCACGCUUCGCUACUGGUUUCAGGUAAAAGCUUGUGUCAUAUAACUGGUAAUCUGCUUGCUGUGUUGUGUUGUCUAUUGAAUGCUGGUUUCAGGUAGAUGCACAAUCCUUACAUAUUGACAUUGAUAAACUGCUUGUUGAUAACCUCUGCACCGUUGCUGCUGCACGCAUUCUGCCGCCCCCUCCAAGCUGGAUGCCGGUUACGAUGAAGAAUAAAAUGACGAGGAAGACCAGAGUCUGACGAAGGCCACAGUCUGGCUUUCCUGCGAGGACGAGCGCUGGCGACGCGCUCAGCUGCCUGCGGGCGGCGCAGAUAGAAUGUCGGAGGCGGUGCGCUGCAUGACAUUCCUGGUAUGCUACCUCCGUGGGUGGGUAGCGUCCCCAAAUAGUGGCUUGACCAUCUCUGCCCCCUAUUUCACCAUUGCUAGGGUGCACUCACAUUCAGUAAGCAAAGUCUGGACGGUUGGACUAGGUCAUGUUAAGUUUGUGACCUGCACUGAAUUUUUCUGGUCAUCCUUUUGAUAAGUGAAAUUAAGUACGUUGAACCAUUCAUUAUAAUUGAAAUAUCAAGGUGUAUGUGCUAAUUCUCUGUUCUAUUGCCUUCAUUAUGCUCAUGGUUCAUUGUAGCAUUUUAAUAUGCAUGACUCUUGAAUUGGCCAGUAGGAAGGCGUCAUGGCACCCUCUCUGCCACCAAAGUCACAAUUGAAGAAUAUGGUAACUUGUCUUGCUCAUUUCAUUUGUCACUAUAUUACAUAUAACUUCUACAAGGGAAAUCGAACUUUACUGGGUGUUAAGUUUAUUGAGACUAGAUUGUUGAUGAAAUGCAUAUAGUUGGGAGGAUCAUGUUUGAUAGAAGAUUCAAUGUAAUUAGACACUUCUUUUCCACUUAUAUAUGUUGAGCUAUCCCUUCAGAACUAUGAAAGCAAUAGAAAAUCACGCUUGAAUUCUUUUCUAGGCAUCUUAUAAAUAAUUUCAUACCAUGCAAAUAUGUUACGCAAAUAUGCAAAUCUCUGACAUGUUUCAUGAGGCGGAGGGAAGUAUACCGCUUGGGUUGUCAUUAACUCAAUCCCUGUGAUGAAUUAUGUUGACAUAGAUAACGUCCAAUAGAGGUAACAUGACUCGUGCUCAUCAAGAGUGGGAGAUGUGGCUAGAUGGUAUGUACUUCUUUGCAUCGGAAAAAAUUCACCUAACUAUAUCUACUGGCUCCAGUUUGAUCUUGAUUUGUUAUGGGAACAACAAAGACACCAUGUAAGGAUUCUGAUUUUCAUGUAGUUAUAUAUAGCUAUUGUUUAAAUUGACAUCAUUGUUCUGCUGGAGGAGUUGUGCAAAAUCGCCAUUGAGAAGUUCAUGAUAGUGUUCUUCUGAUCCACUUUCUUAUAGCGCCAUUGAGCUCCUUCGCCUGUUCUUCAUCGAGAUAGCCUCAACUACAUCACCGGCAAGCAGCAGAACGAGGCGACCACGUUGGCUUGGGACACCAAGAUUUCCACAAGACUCCGUCUUACUCCCCUUCUUUUUCAACCCCACCACGUAUUAUGUUAUCAUUUGUCCAGCAUGAAUUACUUGGAACAGUGUGGAGCCUGCGGGCUCAUACCUUGGGACUUUUAUGGUAAGUUCCACAUGAGGUAUGUUAUUAUUUUGAGUGUUAUAUUGUACAGAUUAAUGAACCGCUCCCCCUUGUUUUUUAGAAAAGCAGCAAGGAUUGUUCUACUUGUACAGGCGUAGUGUAUACCUUCUCGUAAAUGAGAAGAAAUCAAGAAUUCCAGUACUAUGAGCUUACCAUUUAUUGGCUUAAUCCAUUGUAUUUAUAUUUGCUUCCACUCCCGUUUUGCAAUGUUGAUUAGUGUGAUGGAUGGCGAAACUAAGAUGUUUGAUCUUUCUUUACAAAUAUAGUUUUCAAAUAUUCGUUAGUUUCAGAUAGAGUGAUACUAUCAGUAAGCAUUGUUAUGCUCUGUUUGUUCUUCAAAAAUAAGUAGUACUUCUAUAUGCAUAGAUUCAUUUUCGCAUGCUCUUCAAAAUGAGUAUAUGACAGUCCAGGAUGGGAGUUAGCUAUAAUUUUGUUUGUAGUGGCACAAUACAAGAGUAAGCUACCUCUCACACAUUCUUAUGCCUUAAUUAGGUUCAGAGUUCAGGAGAUAAUUACCAUUUGUUGGCUUAGUCCAUUGUAUAUACAUUUGCUUCCACUCCCGUUGUGGGAUGUUGAUUAGUGUGAUGGAUGCCGAGACUAAGAGGGCAGGAUCAAUUUGAAAAUAUUCGCCAGCAUAUUAUCACACAGAGGCAGUGAAACUACAAUCAAAUCUGCUCGUGUUGGUCUGCCAAGAGUGAAAGCCUGUGGAAUUCAAGAUUAUUUUGGAGGAUUAUUUGGAGUUUGUGCCAUAACAUAUAGUGCGGUAGAUAGGGGAGGGGGAUGGUCUUCUUACCGGCAGCGAGGAGGCAGCGGAACACUGACGGUCAAAGUGAAGCUCUAGAGUGGGGACUAGGGAGCAUUAAUGUGAGUGUGUGUGUGUGUUUUUGGUGUUUAUUGGUAGUUUUCUCAAGAAUCUGUUAGGACAUGGUGCGAUCAAUAUGGAAAGUUCUCUAUGACUUUUUGGAUUUAUAUUAAACUGUCAAAAUAAGCUCUUCA